rnacentral:rRNA from 1 species
AGUGAACGCUGGCGGUAGGCCUAACACAUGCAAGUCGAACGGCAGCACAGUAAGAGCUUGCUCUUACGGGUGGCGAGUGGCGGACGGGUGAGGAAUACAUCGGAAUCUACUUUUUCGUGGGGGAUAACGUAGGGAAACUUACGCUAAUACCGCAUACGACCUACGGGUGAAAGCAGGGGAUCUUCGGACCUUGCGCGAUUGAAUGAGCCGAUGUCGGAUUAGCUAGUUGGCGGGGUAAAGGCCCACCAAGGCGACGAUCCGUAGCUGGUCUGAGAGGAUGAUCAGCCACACUGAGACUGAGACACGGUCCAGACUCCUACGAGAGGCAGCAGUGGGGAAUAUUGGACAAUGGGCGCAAGCCUGAUCCAGCCAUACCGCGUGGGUGAAGAAGGCCUUCGGGUUGUAAAGCCCUUUUGUUGGGAAAGAAAAGCAGCAGGUUAAUACCCCGCUGUUCUGACGGUACCCAAAGAAUAAGCACCGGCUAACUUCGUG